rnacentral:rRNA from 1 species
CACGCCCUAAACGAUGUAUGCUUGGUGUUAGUCACGCAAGUGGCUAGUGCCGGAGGUAACCCGUUAAGCAUACCACCUGGGGAGUACGAUCGCAAGGUUGAAACUCAAAGGAAUUGACGGGGGCCCGCACAAGCGGUGGAUCAUGUGGUUUAAUUCGAUGCAACGCGAAGAACCUUACCCGGGCUUGAAGUGCAGCGGAAUUAGGUGGAAACAUCUAAGCUUUCGAGCCGCUGUAGAGGUGC